GACGAACGCUGGCGGCGUGCUUAACACAUGCAAGUCGAACGAUGAACCCGGAGCUUGCUCCGGCGGAUUAGUGGCGAACGGGUGAGUAACACGUGAGUAACCUGCCCUUGACUCUGGGAUAACUGCGGGAAACUGUAGCUAAUACCGGAUACGACCCUCGGCGGCAUCGCCAGGGGGUGGAAAGAAUUUCGGUCAAGGAUGGACUCGCGGCCGACCAGCUAGUUGGUGAGGUAACGGCUCACCAAGGCGACGACGGGGAGCCGGCCUGGGAGGGUGACCGGGCACCCUGGGACUGAGACAUGGCCCAGACUCCCACGGGAGGCAGCAGUGGAGAAUUUUGCACAAUGGGCGCAAGCCUGAUGCAGCAACGCCGCGUGAGGGAUGCCGGCCUUCGGGUUGUAAACCUCUGUUAGUAGGGAAGAAGCGGAAGUGACGGUACCUGCAGAAAAAGCACCGGCUAACUACGUGCCAGCCGCCGCUGUAA
rnacentral:rRNA from 1 species